GGCUCAGGUGGACAUUUAUUUAAUAAAUGACACAAUGCGUAAUUAUCGCCAGGCACUAAUAAAAUGUGUUAAGUCUUUUUAAAUACAGUAGCUCUGCUGCUUGCUGAAACCAGAAGACUGGGUGUACAUGGAGGUCCACCAGCAAGGAACUGCCCUGGCUCCAUGCUGAAAGACCCUUAUCAAAUCCUGUUAAUUACCAACACUGCUGUAAAGUGCCAAGAAUUGACUACCUGCCCAUGUUCCUCACUGUGAUGACUCUCUGACUAAUGAUUGGUCUAUCUUUCCUUCUGGCGUUGUUGCUCUUUCUGGACGGCAGGAGUGAAGGACAAGGUAAAAGAACUGGUAACUUCUCCUUUGUUUGCUGACAGACCCACUGAGCCUUUGAAUUUUGCUAAGAAAACAACCUCUCCACCUGAGGACAUAAUAAAGCCUCCAAGCAAGCAAGGUGAUUGUGCUAGUAACCUCUCCCUUGCUGCCUCACUGCUGGACAGCUAAGUCAAUUAAGACUACGAAAUCUCGAAGAAUAGCUUGCGGAAGCUAGCCAAAACUACCUGAAAAUGAAACUUUUAAUAUAUUUCCUUGAAAAUAU